GGAAAACAAGCUUUGGACAGGGGGAGGGUUUCUGGGUGGCCCCAGCAGCCUCAGAAGGGGAGGGAGGGCUGUGGGACGUGGUCUCCAAGGUAGGGUUCACUGUCACCCUCUCCUCCUGGCUCUUGAGGAGUGCAUACACCUCUCCCCCUUCCCCACUCAGGCUGUCUGCCCUGUCCACUUCCCCUGCGGUAUCUACAGACUGACCCCAGCUCCCCCGUUGCUACAGAGCUCAUGGCUUCCUUCUGAGCGGGAAGACAGGGCUCUUGUAUAUAGUUCCUGCCUGUAGGCAUUCAUUCAUUAAUUCAUUUAUCCACUCACCCAUAGAGUGUUGAUUUGUCUCAGGUCUUUUGCUUUUGCAGGUCCCUGUGCCUGGCACAUUGUCUUGUAUUCCUCAGGGCUCUGCUUCCCAUGGUGCCUCUUCCAAGAUGCCUUCCCUGACUACCCCCAGCUAAUUUAGCCCGUUAUACCCUGUUAGCAACUGUACUGCUCUUCAUGAUAAAACAGGAUAGGCUGGUGCUCCCAGGGGCUCUCUCUAUAUGUAAUAGAUAUAUUAGCCCAAUGGGCACUCAUUUCCCUUCUCGUUUUCUUUUGGGAACCAUCCUUUCCUUCUCUUUGUGCAAUUUGUUGAUGUCAGCCCCAUUCCCCAGCUCCACGAAUGAGCACAUCACCCAGGGAAAGCCAAUGAGAGACGGCUGCAGGACUUUUGCUGGAGCUACUGGAACGCUGAGUUUUGUGCUGCCGUGGUUGCUUACCUGGUAGGCUGGCAGGCUGGCACUGCCGGGGGAGGAGAGGGCCUGCCUAAAAACGAAAUCAAUACCGGGGGAAGAAAAGGUGAGAGAAGGAGAGAUGUACAGUCCUGAGAUUGUUGGAGCACCUGGAUCCAGCCAUACCUGAAAUCCAAACUCCCUCCCGCUGGACUUUUUCACUGUAAGAAUCAGUAAGUUCCCUUGGUGCUUAAGCUAGUUUGGGUUUCCGUAGCCUCCAAGAUAACAAAGCCUCAAAGAUAUGCAGGCGGCCAAGCUUAGGUACUUUCCCCUUGAGGCAUGUGGGCAGGUGUUUCCCUCACUCAGAAGUCACGUCCCCUCUAGAGGCUCCUUUUCUACAAGGCCUGAAUGUUUGGGGUUCGCUCCACCUGAGGCAAAAAAGCAGAAGCAAAGUGUGAGGCCAGAGGUGGGGUGCCUACAGAAACAGCCAUGCGACCAGCAGCAGGAAGUGGGGAUCUGCAUUAUUACUGUGCUAACCCAUUUCCCCGCUUCUUGGUAGGCUGAGCCCUGAUGGUCUUAGCUUGUUUAUUAGCUCUGUCCAUGUGUUUCGGGGAGGUGUCUAAGCCAGUCAUAGUUCCCCAGUCUCCCGGUCAGUGACUGGUUCUGGAAGGAGCCAUGACUCACAACUAGACAAGAACAUGUGAGGGUAAGUCUGCUGGGAAGUGGUUAGGGGAGGUUUCUGGAGGAAAAUGGUUUUGCUCUUAAAAAGUAAUGCAAGGGAAAGACGCUUCCCUUUUCUGCCUCCCACAGAAAGUACGGCGGCAUGGGGAAACACCAACUGAUGGUGGGAUUUUGUUUUCUCGAACUCUUAGUCUAAAGCAGAAUCACGACAGAGUCUGUGUUUGGUUUUGCCCUCCCACCACGUGGGAGAAAAAAGGGGGGGGUGCUAAUAACACUCCCCUGGUUUAACAACAACAAAAAAACACCUCACAAAUAUUUAGCCUUUUCAAAAUCUACAUGCCCACUUAAGUAUUAUUCCCAGGGCAAUAAGUUAUUAAGUAAGACAAAUCAGAAUUACAGAUUUUGGAAGGUUGGAGCUGCCUUUCACAAGAUGUAGCAAUCUCUGAAGUCUGUAUGGCCUCCGAAAAGUAUUUGCAAGGGGAGUUUUACGUUGCCGAGGAGUGUCUGAUUUUCUGCAGCUGCAAAGAAAGAUCAUUUUUCUGCUUCUCUUUCUGCAAUUUCUUUCACCAGCACUUUGAAGAGCCUAUAAUCCUCAAAGCCAAGAGCAGGAUUUGCACUAAGUCCCAAGAGCAAACCCGGAGAGGCUAAACACUUAAAAUGUAGGGGGGAGACGGGCAGAGUAGGAUUUUAGCAAAAGGAAGUAUAAGGCUGUUGUGUUCUGCCUCUAGAGGAAAUGAGGGUUGGCACAGUGGCAGCUAUGUUGCCACCUUAAGGGAAGACACUGCCCACGUGCUAAGGAAUCUUCAUCCGACACCAUUGAACGUGAACACCGUUCACAAGAACACCGUUCAACGGGUGGGCUGACCGCUGUACAACCUCCCUACCUUGGUGAGAUUAGCUGUUUGGGAAAAUAAUAAAGGCCUUUAGUUUUCAAGGUAUUUGGAAUUUCUUGUUCCCUUACCUGCAGCCAGCAGCAGCCUACGUGAUACACCCAGAGUGCGUGGUACACACGGGACGGCAUGGGAACGUCAACAGUAUGGCCCGUUCGGUGCCCAGAGCACUGCCCUCACCAGACACGGUCCUGGCUGUCAGCGUGAGAGCCCCCCCAUUCCCUCCCGGCCCAGCCACUGCUGGCAUCAUAGUGUUGAUUAUGCUUUCCAUAUUCUUCAGAGGGGAACAGUCGUUAUGUUUUAAACUCUAACCACCAACCCACAAAGUCUGGUGAAGGUCACUCCCAGAACGUACGUGUCAUCGACCCUGAUAAUUUGACAGUGAAGGGGUUGGUAUGACCCGUCUAUGUGCCAGUCAAAACCCAGUAACCUGCCUUGAAGAUUUGCGCAUUUCAUUGUAUGCAAAUUUCACCUCACAAAAGAACCGUGGGGAGCCUGGGUGGGGUGGCUCAGGGCCCCAAGCAGCUGACUUCAGCUCAAGUCAUGAUCUGAGCCAGUUCGAGCCCCUCGUUGGGCUCUGGGCUGACAGCUCAGAACCUGGAGCCUACUUUACAUUCUGUGUGUCUCUCUCUCUGCCCCUCCCCUGCUCUUGCUCUGUCUCUCUUUCUCUCCCAAAAAUAAAUAACAUUAAAAAAAUUUUUUAAAAGAACCGUAAGGAUUGAAUUCUAAUUAGUGAUAUGGACGCCGAGAUAUUUAGAAGUUAAAAGUGCAGAUGUCUGCUUGAAAAUACUUCACUUUAACUCAUUUAAAAAUCCAGCAAAGAAAUCAUGUGGUUGAAUAAAUAGAGGAUGGACAGAUAGGUAUGUGAUAAAGCACAUGUAGAAAAUUGUUAACAAGGGGCGCCUGGGUGGCUCAGUCAGUUAAGCGUUCGAUUUCGGCUCAGGUCACGAUCUCGCGGUUUGUGGGUUGGAGCCCCACGUCGGGAUCUGUGCUGACAGCUCGGAGCCUGGAGCCUGCUUCGGAUUCUCUCUCUCUACCUCUCCCCUACUCGUGUUCUGUCCCUCUCUCUCUCUCAAAAAUAAAUAACAUUAAAAAAAAUUUUUUUAACGUUAACAAGUGUAGA